AUUUAUGUAUACUGUCAAGUUUGUCCACCUACAGCUCUCACAUGAUAUUAGAGCAUAUCGCCAACAAAAGCAGACAUGUUUCGUAUGUUCUCCCCACAUAAUCUAACCUCUUCGAAGAUAAACCGUUGUUUCAAAGUACAUUCAACUGCUACACCUAGUCACACUUCAUCAUCUGACGGCAAACAACUCAUCAGAAGACAUAUCAUCAGAUUUGUUCACUAAGGUUGCAUGACUAAUGCAUGCUAAUUUUGUACAACCAAAUGCUUAGUCAGGAGCCUACCCAAAAACCAAGUUCAGUAUACACAUUAGCACUACUGAUCCUACCGAAACUAGCAGGUUCAUUUGCAACCACACAUUUAGCUAGCUCU
rnacentral:lncRNA from 1 species